rnacentral:rRNA from 1 species
CACGUAGGGCGCAAGCGUUGUCCGGAAUUAUUGGGCGUAAAGAGCUCGUAGGUGGUUUGCUGCGUCCGCUGUGAAAACCCAAGGCUUAACCUUGGGCUUGCAGUGGAUACGGGCAGACUAGAGGUAGGUAGGGGGGAAUGGAAUUCCCGGUGUAGCGGUGAAAUGCGCAGAUAUCGGGAGGAACACCGGUGGCGAAGGCGGUUCUCUGGGCCUUACCUGACACUGAGGAGCGAAAGCGUGGGGAGCGAACAGG